AUUGAACGCUGGCGGCAUGCCUUACACAUGCAAGUCGAACGGUAGAGCAGCAAUGCUUGAGAGUGGCGAACGGGUGAGUAAUAUAUCGGAACGUGCCCAGUCGUGGGGGAUAACGUAGAGAAAUUUACGCUAAUACCGCAUACGAUCUAAGGAUGAAAGCGGGGGACUCGCAAGAGCCUCGCGCGAUUGGAGCGGCUGAUAUCAGAUUAGGUUGUUGGUGAGGUAAAAGCUCACCAAGCCGACGAUCUGUAGCUGGUUUGAGAGAACGACCAGCCACACUGGGACUGAGACACGGCCCAGACUCCUACGGGAGGCAGCAGUGGGGAAUUUUGGACAAUGGGCGAAAGCCUGAUCCAGCAAUGCCGCGUGUGGGGAGAAGGCCUUCGGGUUGUAAACCACUUUUGUACGGAACGAAACGGUCUGCUUUAAUACAGCGGGCUAAUGACGGUACCGUAAGAAUAAGCACCGGCUAACUACGUGCCAGCAGCCGCGGUAAUACGUAGGGUGCGAGCGUUAAUCGGAAUUACUGGGCGUAAAGCGUGCGCAGGCGGUUAUAUAAGACAGUUGUGAAAUCCCCGGGCUCAACCUGGGAAUUGCAUCUGUGACUGUAUAGCUAGAGUACGGUAGAGGGGGAUGGAAUUCCGCGUGUAGCAGUGAAAUGCGUAGAUAUGCGGAGGACACCGAUGGCGAAGGCAAUCCCCUGGACCUGUACUGACGCUCAUGCACGAAAGCGUGGGGAGCAAACAGGAUUAGAUACCCUGUAGUCCACGCCCUAACGAUGUCA
rnacentral:rRNA from 1 species